GUGAAUCAUCGAAUCUUUGAACGCACAUUGCGCCCCUUGGCAUUCCGGGGGGCACACCUGUUCGAGCGCCAUUUCGACCCUCAAGCAUAGCUUGGUGUUGGGCAUGGUCCCUAGGGGACCUGCCCGUAACUCGUAGGCGGUGGCCGCCCGCGCCCCCAGCGUAGCAAGCUCACGCGUUCGCUCGGGGACGGCGCAUCCACCCGCCCCAAAACACUUUCAAGUUUGGCCUCGGAUCAGGUGGGGAUACCCGCUGAACUUAAGCAUAUCAAUAAGCGGAGGA
rnacentral:misc_RNA from 1 species